rnacentral:rRNA from 1 species
CAUGUGAAAGUAUAAGCUUUUAAACGGCGAAACUGCGAAUGGCUCAUUAAAACAGUUAUGGUUUACUUGAUGAUUGCCUCUAAGGUUGUUGGAUAACCGUAGUAAUUCUAGUGCUAAUACAUGUCAAAAAGCCCGACUUCUCGGAAGGGUGAUGUUUAUUAGAUUUAAAACCUUGUCCUGAUUUAUCAGGAAUCUAUGGUGAGACAUAAUAACCUUUUGGAUCGUUCUCAGAACGAUGGAUCAAACAAGUUUCUGACCUAUCAGCUUUGACGGUAGGGUAUUGGCCUACCGUGGCAUUGACGGGUAACGGAGGAUUAGGGUUCGAUUCCGGAGAGGGAGCCUGAGAAACGGCUACCACAUCUAAGGAAGGCAGCAGGCGCGCAAAUUACCCAAUCCUGACAAAGGGGGGUAGUGACAAGAAAUAACAGUAUAGGGCAAUUUGUCUUGUAAUCGGAAUGAGUAGAAUUUAAAACUCUCUACAAGUAUCAAUUGGAGGGCAAGUCUGGUGCCAGCAGCCGCGGUAAUUCCAGCUCCAAUAGCGUAUAUUAAAGUUGUUGCGGUUAAAAAGCUCGUAGUUGGAUUUCAGUAGUGUUACAUUUUGGCCCUUUCUUAAUUUAUUAAAGAGUUGGUGUCUGAUUUGGUGCAUCAUACGAGGCGCUGCUUUGGCAGUUGCUGGGGAGGUGUUAAGAACGCUAUUUACUUCUUUACCUUUUCUGAUCUUAAUUGAUUCGGUUUUGGAAUGGAAGAUUACUUUUGA